UACGAAGGGGGCUAGCGUUGCUCGGAAUCACUGGGCGUAAAGGGUGCGUAGGCGGGUCUUUAAGUCAGGGGUGAAAUCCUGGAGCUCAACUCCAGAACUGCCUUUAAUACUGGAUGUCUUGAGCUCGGAAGAGGCGAGUGGAAUCCCCGGUGUAGCGGUGAAAUGCGCAGAUAUCGGGAGGAACACCUAUGGCGAAGGCAGCUUACUAUGGUCUUAUUGACGCUGAGGCACGAAAGCGUGGGGAGCAAACAGG
rnacentral:rRNA from 1 species